AACAUGACUUUGAUCUGCGUCCUCAUCUGGACUCUCCUCUGCUGCUGCUUCACAGAGUCCAGAGGACAGAUCACAGUGACUCAGUCUGGAGCAGUGAGCUCUGCUGUGGGAGGAUCUGUGAGCAUCAAGUGUACGACCAGUCAGAAUGUUUAUUAUGUUAAUGUGCAUGAGUUAGCCUGGUACCAACAGAAAGAUGGAGAAACCUUUAAACUGCUCAUUUACUAUGCUAGCAGACGAGCAUCAGGGAUUCCAGCUCGUUUUACAGGCAGUGGAUCAUAUUCUGACUUCACUCUGACCAUCAGUGGAGUCCAGGCUGAAGAUGCAGCAGUUUAUUACUGUCAGGGUACUCAUAUGAUCAACAGUCAACGGGUGUUCACACAGUGAAAAACUGCUGUACAAAAACCUCCCUUACUAAGACUUAAUGGACACUCAACUGACUGCUGCAGCUGACAGCUGUGUUUGUGUGUGUGAGCCACACACUUAGACACACGAGAGCGAUGGUAUUCUUUAAACACAUUAUCA